rnacentral:rRNA from 1 species
UACGUAGGGGGCAAGCGUUGUCCGGAUUCAUUGGGCGUAAAGAGCGUGUAGGCGGCCAGGUAGGUCGGUUGUGAAAACUGGAGGCUCAACCUUCAGACGUCGAUCGAAACCAUCUGGCUAGAGUCCGGGAGAGGAGAGUGGAAUUCCUGGUGUAGCGGUGAAAUGCGCAGAUAUCAGGAAGAACACCCGUGGCGAAAGCGGCUCUCUGGAACGGUACUGACGCUGAGACGCGAAAGCGUGGGGAGCAAACAGG